UAUACAUAAUAUUCUGUAAAUGUUGAUAUAUGUAUACCAAAAAUUAGAGAAGAUGCAACGAUAUAAGUUAUUUAUUAGUAAUUCAUGAGUUUCGUUGAGUAACAUAUUGUGUUGGAACGCCCGAUGACUGGUAACUCGAACAGCUUGCGGGAACGGGAAUCAGGACUUUUUCAAAAACAACGAGGACAAGAAGUUCCUAUAAAAGUCAUAAAAAAUUACAACUUUUCAUUCAUUCAUUCAACUUCAACCUACUCCCAAGAUAAAGACGUAGUACAACGACGGCAAAACAUGGCCAAGCUCUUUGUUUUCGUUUUGGCUUGUGUGUUAAACCUCAGCGUGAACUACGCAUUGGAACUUCCAAAGAAAGCACUCGAAGACUUUUCUGAUGUCAAGAUAAAUAAUCCACCAAAUUAAUAAUAAAAACACCAGAAGAGCUGAGAAAAAUGCCGUCUGUUCAACAACUUCGUGCUGCUGCAUCCCAAGCUGGGUCGUCAAUGCCAAGACACUGCUCUAAGCCUGGUAAUCACGCUUGUCAGAACAAGGGUGCAUGGUUCGAAUGCGACAAGUCCUAUUGCCCUUCCAUACCUGACACCGCAAAAUUCAUGUGGUGCCAUCAUAUUUAUGGAUGUAACAUCUAUGAACUUGAAGUUUAUCAAGGUUGUUUCAACCAGUAUGUAGAUUCGUACAGAUGAACAUAUGAAGACAGAAAAUGCAACAAUGGAUAUUACUGCAACAAACAAAAUAUAUCAGGAAACACAGCUUUGGGUUGUCGUACAAAACUAUCCGACUAAACUUGCAAAAUUGGACGUCGUAGUGAAAGUCGAUCAAUACACGUGCACGCAGCUCGCAAAGAAUUACAAGUAACAGACGAAAGCUACAACGAAAUCCUAAAGAUGAUGUUGUAAUUUCCUAUUGUUGAAAAGAUAUAUCAAAUUAU